rnacentral:rRNA from 1 species
UGAGGAAUAUUGGUCAAUGGGCGCAGGCCUGAACCAGCCAAGUAGCGUGAAGGAUGACUGCCCUAUGGGUUGUAAACUUCUUUUAUAAAGGAAUAAAGUCGGGUAUGUAUACCCGUUUGCAUGUACUUUAUGAAUAAGGAUCGGCUAACUCCGUGCCAGCAGCCGCGGUAAUACGGAGGAUCCGAGCGUUAUCCGGAUUUAUUGGGUUUAAAGGGAGCGUAGAUGGAUGUUUAAGUCAGUUGUGAAAGUUUGCGGCUCAACCGUAAAAUUGCAGUUGAUACUGGAUAUCUUGAGUGCAGUUGAGGCAGGCGGAAUUCGUGGUGUAGCGGUGAAAUGCUUAGAUAUCACGAAGAACUCCGAUUGCGAAGGCAGCCUGCUAAGCUGCAACUGACAUUGAGGCUCGAAAGUGUGGGUAUCAAACAGGAUUAGAUACCCUGGUAGUCCACACGGUAAACGAUGAAUACUCGCUGUUUGCGAUAUACUGCAAGCGGCCAAGCGAAAGCGUUAAGUAUUCCACCUGGGGAGUACGCCGGCAACGGUGAAACUCAAAGGAAUUGACGGGGGCCCGCACAAGUGGAGGAACAUGUGGUUUAAUUCGAUGAUACGCGAGGAACCUUACCCGGGCUUAAAUUGCAGAUGAAUUACGGUGAAAGCCGUAAGCCGCAAGGCAUCUGUGAAGGUGCUGCAUGGUUGUCGUCAGCUCGUGCCGUGAGGUGUCGGCUUAAGUGCCAUAACGAGCGCAACCCUUGUUGUCAGUUACUAACAGGUUCCGCUGAGGACUCUGACAAGACUGCCAUCGUAAGAUGUGAGGAAGGUGGGGAUGACGUCAAAUCAGCACGGCCCUUACGUCCGGGGCUACACACGUGUUACAAUGGGGGGUACAGAGGGCCGCUACCACGCGAGUGGAUGCCAAUCCCCAAAACCUCUCUCAGUUCGGACUGGAGUCUGCAACCCGACUCCACGAAGCUGGAUUCGCUAGUAAUCGCGCAUCAGCCACGGCGCGGUGAAUACGUUCCC